GACGAACGCUGGCGGCGUGCUUAACACAUGCAAGUCGAACGGAAAGGCCCUGCUUUUGUGGGGUGCUCGAGUGGCGAACGGGUGAGUAACACGUGAGUAACCUGCCCUUGACUUUGGGAUAACUUCAGGAAACUGGGGCUAAUACCGGAUAGGAGCUCCUGCUGCAUGUUGGGGGUUGGAAAGUUUCGGCGGUAGGGGAUGGACUCGCGGCUUAUCAGCUUGUUGGUGGGGUAGUGGCUGACCAAGGCUUUGACGGGUAGCCGGCCUGGGAGGGUGACCGGCCACAUUGGGACUGAGAUACGGACCAGACUCCUACGGGAGGCAGCAGUGGGGAAUAUUGCACAAUGGGCGGAAGCCUGAUGCAGAAACGCCGCGUGCGGGAUGACGGCCUUCGGGUUGUAAACCGCUUUCGCCUGUGACGAAGCGUGAGUGACGGUAAUGGGUAAAGAAGCACCGGCUAACUACGUG
rnacentral:rRNA from 1 species